GAUGAACGCUGGCGGCGUGCCUAAUACGUGCAAGUCGAGCGAACAGACGAGGAGCUUGCUCCUCUGACGUUAGCGGCGGACGGGUGAGUAACACGUGGAUAACCUACCUAUAAGACUGGGAUAACUUCGGGAAGCCGGAGCUAAUACCGGAUAAUAUAUUGAACCGCAUGGUUCAAUAGUGAAAGACGGUUUUGCUGUCACUUAUAGAUGGAUCCGCGCCGCAUUAGCUAGUUGGUAAGGUAACGGCUUACCAAGGCAACGAUGCGUAGCCGACCUGAGAGGGUGAUCGGCCACACUGGAACUGAGACACGGUCCAGACUCCUACGGGAGGCAGCAGUAGGGAAUCUUCCGCAAUGGGCGAAAGCCUGACGGAGCAACGCCGCGUGAGUGAUGAAGGUCUUCGGAUCGUAAAGCUCUGUUAUUAGGGAAGAACAAAUGUGUAAGUAACUAUGCACGUCUUGACGGUACCUAAUCAGAAAGCCACGGCUAACUACGUG
rnacentral:rRNA from 1 species